rnacentral:RNase_P_RNA from 1 species
CCAGACGGUCGGACGAUCGCGCGUACAAACUCGAAAGGGUGUGCGGGAGGAAAGUCCGGGCUCCACGUCGACACGGCGGCGGGUAACGCCCGCCGGGACCGGUUCGCAAGCGCCGGUUUCAGGGAAAGCGCCACAGAGAACAGUCUGCCUAUGCGCCCCAAGUGAAAGCUAUGGGGCGCAGGCGAUGGUGAAACGGUGGGGUAAGAGCCCACCGCCCCGACCGCAAGGAAGGGGGCACGGCAAGCCCCGCCGGGAGCAAGACCGAAUAGGGAUGCAUCUCUCGCAAGAGGGAAGGCCUGUCGCGGGCCGCAUCCGGGUAGGUCGCGAGAACCGCGCAGCGAUGCGCGGUCCAGAGGAAUGAUCGUCACGCGCAAGCGUACAGAACCCGGCUUACAGACCGUCUGGCAAU